CACAGUAGCUACUCCGGUUGCAACUCACUACCGUAUGUGUGGCAAGUGCCAAGGGGAAUAAAGGUGCACAAUCACGCUUGCACGAAUACGACGUCGAACCUCGUGUGUGUGUGUGUGGGGGGAUCCAUGUGGUGCACGUGAAUCCUAUUAGUGCAUUCUGUUGGGGUUUCGUUCUCGGUUGACCACGUGGUGUGCGCGCCUGGACGCUUCGCAAAGGUCGGUGUCGCCGUCGGCGCUUUUCGGUUCUGCGGUAAGUGCAUGCCUUCACGGCUGCUGGCUUCGGUCUUUCCGGUUUGCCUUUGCCUCCUCUUGCCCGCGGUCUUCUUCUUCGCCGUCUCCCGUGCGCACCUCAUUCGUCCCAAGACGCACAAAGCUCGGCUGCGUCGCGCCUCUCGUCACUGGGCGUGCUGCCCUGCAACGCUUGCGCCGGUGUUCGGAGGGAGGCACAGCCUUUCUCCCAACCCCAAAUUCGCCUGGCUACCCAACAGCCGCGCGGCUGUCCUUUCCUGACAAUGGAGCUGACACUGCAUCAGGCGGCAGACAUCUCGAUUGUGUCGCAGUACUAUUCCCCGUCGCUGCGAGCGCCAUCACGUACGCGAUCAGCAACUUCCUUCCGUAUGCGAACAACUUUCCCAACGCGAAGGUGCGGCUGACGCCUGGCAAGGACAUUGCCGAGCCGCUGCACUUUGAAUGCUUCUUGACGAUCCGCAAGAGCCCCAAGACACUCAGGGUACUCCCCUGCUCGUGGUGAUCUCCUUCGCGGAUCAUUAUCCGCAGCAAAUGCCGUCUGCCGUUCUCGUGCCGCCGCCUGGUGGGGAGAAGAUUAAGCACCCGUACUCGGUCAUGUCGAUCGACGGACGCAUCCAGGUGGAGUGCUUGUCGUUUUUGCGGGGGGUAGUGCGGCCGUACUCGUUGCUGGACAUGCUGCUCGCCAUUAGCGAGCAGUUUGAGCUGGAAUAUCCCCUCGUCGGGGCGAACUACGUUCCUCCUACCGCAACGGCGAGUGAUCUGCUCAGUGCUCAGAGUGCCGAGCUGAGCGAUAUGGACCCCGCCCGCCAGUCACUGGUACAGGAGGCGGCGGAGCGUGUCGUGAUUGAUGUGAACCAAAAAGCUAGCAAAUACCUUGACAUGCGCGAGCAGGCUCUCCUGUACCUGCAGAAGCUGAACGAGUCGAACCGGGAGCUGCAAAGGGCUAAAGAGAUCCUGACGGAACACCAAGACGAGCUACAGGAGUACUUGCCCAGCGUAGGGAACGUAAGCUCACUCGUGCGUCAGCUGGACGGGCACGAGGACACGGUAGAGGAGCACGCUAACUGCCUCGUCCCCGCUGAUCCGCUGCAGGCGCGUGCGCUGGAGCUUCUGGCAGAGAUUCAUGCAGCGGACGACACGCUGGCGUUGUUGGAGGAGGGGCUGAAGCGAGAGUUGAUGACCUGUGACGACUACGUCAAGAACGUCUCCGAUGUCGGCCGAGAACAGUUCGUAUCGCGGCACUUGUACUUGAAAGUAUCGGAUAAGCUAGGCAAGACAAGCAGCGGCGCAGCGGCCACCACACCCGUCUCCACACCACCCCCUGGCCAGUCGCCCCGCUCCCCACCAGAGGUGCCGCAGCGGCUCGCGCCGACAGAGGCUCUGCGGAUGGAGUUUCCGUCGGCUGAUGUCGACGUCAUUCGUGAUGUUUUGGCGUCCGUGGAAGGUGACCUGACAAUUGCCCGACAGCAGCUCAAGAUGAUGUUCCCCUAAGGAGGGAGUACGCUGCGGCGCCGCUUCCCACACUGGGUGCAAUCACCUCCAAAAGCGCAGCAACGCCACGAAUAGAUACAGCGCCAGAGAUCGCACGAUGGGAUCGUGGAAAGGCGAGAUAUUCGGAAGCGAAAGACGAGUUCUCUGCCAUCGCUCUGCUUUACCUAUGAGUUUGAUGCGGCCUCCUAGCCGAGAAAGAGCCUCGCAUCAUGCAUGCAACGACAGUCCCGCUGUGCGAAGCUACCGUGCUCCCUGUGGACAGACGGCGCACUGCAGGCGGGCGCCAAGGUUUGAGGGACCGCGAUGCUUAAUGAUCAUAAUACACUCAUCGAUACAGCGUCAAGAGGCUGCGGCCGGCUUGCUUGCAGCUAUCGCGCUGGGUGGUAAGCGGUGGAACUUGGGACUGGAUCUGCUGCGAGGAUAGCUGGAUCAGCAAAGACACAGCAAAACAAGCCCUGGGCGCUGCUGCUGCGGGGCUUGCUCUCCCUCCUCACGGCGCUGAGCACGGGCCCCAAUACUGGGGCUGCUGGCCCGCCGCGCGCGUCUCUCAUUUCAGCGCGUCAUUGGCCAUUGUGCGUGGGAAGCGAAGGGCAGAAGCCGACAAGCUUGCAAAGUGGGCCAUGCCAGAGAGGGGGCGGCGCCGACGCCAACGUACAGGGCUGCUGCGCUGACGGGGCGACGGGCGGCCGUGCUCACCCAGCUGCGCGCGGGCACGUGUCCGCACCCUGGAUUCCUGCAGCGGUGGGGGUGGCACAGCGGCCCACGCCGACGCGCAUGCGUGCGAGGGAUGCGGCGUCUCCUCCGUGUGGCCGCGUGGGCUGAUGCGGCGCAGAUGCCGGGGACAGGACGAGCGCGCCCCGAAUGGCACCACCGUGUGUGCCAGAGCCCGGUGUGGGAGGGUCUCCGCACCAUAUUGCGGAACGCCGCGGCUGGGGGGGGCGAGAGAGGGGAGAGAGGCCCGGCAUGCAGGCAGUGUGUGUGGCCGGGCCUCGGAGGGCCCUGGCCCGCGGCUUGCCCACCCCCUGCGUGGGCUCCCCCGGCACGCGGGGCUAGGCCAGCCCCUGCCACCCGCACGACGGACGCCACCGCUUUCCGCCCUCGAGCAGGACCGUGGACGUGGCCGGCGUUUGCAUCAUGGCAUGCGGUGCACCCGGGCCGGUGUGGCGCCGGUGGUGCGGCAGGUGGGCGGUGAGGGGGAGGGAGAGGCGGGGAAGAAGGCGGAGAGCCCGCUCGACGCAUGGCCCCGCUUCGACGGCAGCGCGGUUCGUCGCGGAGGAGCAGGGUUGCGCCGUGGCGCAGCAGAGGGGUGGGUGAGCUGUGGCCGUGAUAUGGGCUUCCUUGCUGAUCUGUUGGCAGCGGUAGAAUGGGCACGUUGGUGUGUGAGGAGGAAGAGGGCUCGUUUUAGGUAUUACGAGUGUGCGCCUCUUGUGGAGGUGUGUGUGAAGGCGGAGUUGCCUCCCAGUAUGAGGUGGUUGUUGUGGGCGGUCAGCUCUUCUGCCUCUGUCCUUCGCGUUUAAAUUUCUCGUUGGGGGCCCGUGGAUGUGACAUCGGCGUCUAGCUUCACGUUCCGUGGUCGAAGCGGUUGGGCGGUGUGCAGUUUCUCUGACCAAUGUUCUCUGUUUCUUGGACGCUUGCCGGAGGUCAUAAUCUUUGCGGUGGCGUUUUGUGAUUUGGUGGCGUGGAUGCGCAUCGUUUUCUCUGUCAUCGUACGAAGUGUGUCAGGUGUCCGAUGCAUCCUCUCCUCCUGGUGGGUCUCGCUUCUGUGUAUUUUGACCAGCUUUAUUCUGUUUUCUUGUAUCGGAUGCGUGUGAAAGCCCCGCUGAGGGGCACAUUCAUACCGAGCGCAAAAGGUGCGGAGAAGUAUGGCUGC
rnacentral:misc_RNA from 1 species